rnacentral:rRNA from 1 species
CACGGAGUUAGCCGGUGCUUCUUCUGCGGGUAACGUCAAUUGCUGUGGUUAUUAACCACAACACCUUCCUCCUCGCUGAAAGUACUUUACAACCCGAAGGCCUUCUUCAUACACGCGGCAUGGCUGCAUCAGGCUUGCGCCCAUUGUGCAAUAUUCCCCA